UGAUCUUAUGGCAAAAUACGCGAAAUGCAGAUAGCCGACGUUUUAACGCGUCGGUUAUUUUUUUUG
rnacentral:sRNA from 1 species